rnacentral:rRNA from 1 species
UACAGAGGUCCUAAGCGUUGUUCGGAUUCACUGGGCGUAAAGGGUGCGUAGGCGGUCGGGUAAGUCUGAUGUGAAAUCUCACAGCUUAACUGUGAAACUGCAUUGGAUACUAUCCGGCUCGAGGAAUGGAGGGGAGACUGGAAUACUUGGUGUAGCAGUGAAAUGCGUAGAUAUCAAGUGGAACACCAGUGGCGAAGGCGAGUCUCUGGACAUUUCCUGACGCUGAGGCACGAAAGCCAGGGGAGCAAACGGG